GGGGUUGUGGCUCAUUGGUAGGGCACUCACCUGUCAUGUGAGGCACUGAGUUCAAUUCUCAGCACCA
rnacentral:tRNA from 1 species